GUGGCGGACGGGUGAGUAACGCGUGAGAAUCUGCCCUCAGGAGGGGGAUAACGGUUGGAAACGACCGCUAAUACCCCAUAUGCCGAGAGGUGAAAUGAAAUUCGCCUGAGGAUGAGCUCGCGUCUGAUUAGCUAGUUGGUAGGGUAAAGGCCUACCAAGGCAUUGAUCAGUAGCUGGUCUGAGAGCAUGACCCGGCACACUGGAACUGAGACACUGUCCAGACACCUACGGGUGGCUGCAGUCGAGAAUCUUCGGCAAUGGGCGAAAGCCUGACCGAGCGACGCCGCGUGAGGGAUUGAAGGCCUUCGGGUUGUAAACCUCUUUCGUAGAGGAGGAAGGGGCUGUGAAGAACAGUCCUUGACCUAUUCUAGGAAGAAGCUUGGGCUAAGUUCGUGCCAGCAGCCGCGGUAAGACGAACCAAGCGAACGUUAUUCGGAAUUACUGGGCUUAAAGCGCGUGUAGGCGGACUACCACGUUGGUUGUGAAAUCCCCCGGCUUAACCGGGGAACUGGCACCAAUACGAGUAGUCUGGAGGUGGGUAGGGGAGACUGGAACUUCCGGUGGAGCGGUGAAAUGCGUUGAGAUCGGAAGGAACGCCCGCGGCGAAAGCGAGUCUCUGGACCCAUACUGACGCUGAGACGCGAAAGCCAGGGGAGCAAACGGGAUUAGAUACCCCGGUAGUCCUGGCUGUAAACAUUGGGCACUGGGUAGUGGAACCGCCGAUGGUUUCACUGCCGCAGGGAAACCGUGAAGUGCCCCGCCUGGGGAGUAUGGUCGCAAGGCUGAAACUCAAAGGAAUUGACGGGGGCUCACACAAGCAGU
rnacentral:rRNA from 1 species